CAAGGGACCAUGGAGAAAAAUAGCGGGUCGAGAGCUUCUUUUUCCACCGGAGCUUGCUCCACCGGAAAAAGAGGAGUGGCGAACGGGUGAGUAACACGUGGGUAACCUGCCCAUCAGAAGGGGAUAACACUUGGAAACAGGUGCUAAUACCGUAUAACAAUCGAAACCGCAUGGUUUUGAUUUGAAAGGCGCUUUCGGGUGUCGCUGAUGGAUGGACCCGCGGUGCAUUAGCUAGUUGGUGAGGUAACGGCUCACCAAGGCGACGAUGCAUAGCCGACCUGAGAGGGUGAUCGGCCACAUUGGGACUGAGACACGGCCCAAACUCCUACGGGAGGCAGCAGUAGGGAAUCUUCGGCAAUGGACGAAAGUCUGACCGAGCAACGCCGCGUGAGUGAAGAAGGUUUUCGGAUCGUAAAACUCUGUUGUUAGAGAAGAACAAGGAUGAGAGUAACUGUUCAUCCCUUGACGGUAUCUAACCAGAAAGCCACGGCUAACUACGUGCCAGCAGCCGCGGUAAUACGUAGGUGGCAAGCGUUGUCCGGAUUUAUUGGGCGUAAAGCGAGCGCAGGCGGUUUCUUAAGUCUGAUGUGAAAGCCCCCGGCUCAACCGGGGAGGGUCAUUGGAAACUGGGAGACUUGAGUGCAGAAGAGGAGAGUGGAAUUCCAUGUGUAGCGGUGAAAUGCGUAGAUAUAUGGAGGAACACCAGUUGCCGAAGGCGGCUCUCUGGUCUGUAACUGACGCUGAGGCUCGAAAGCGUGGGGAGCAAACAGGAUUAGAUACCUGGUAGUCCACGCCGUAAACGAUGAGUGCUAAGUGUUGGAGGGUUUCCGCCCUUCAGUGCUGCAGCUAACGCAUUAAGCACUCCGCCUGGGGAGUACGACCGCAAGGUUGAAACUCAAAGGAAUUGACGGGGGCCCGCACAAGCGGUGGAGCAUGUGGUUUAAUUCGAAGCAACGCGAAGAACCUUACCAGGUCUUGACAUCCUUUGACCACUCUAGAGAUAGAGCUUCCCCUUCGGGGGCAAAGUGACAGGUGGUGCAUGGUUGUCGUCAGCUCGUGUCGUGAGAUGUUGGGUUAAGUCCCGCAACGAGCGCAACCCUUAUUGUUAGUUGCCAUCAUUUAGUUGGGCACUCUAGCAAGACUGCCGGUGACAAACCGGAGGAAGGUGGGGAUGACGUCAAAUCAUCAUGCCCCUUAUGACCUGGGCUACACACGUGCUACAAUGGGAAGUACAACGAGUCGCAAAGUCGCGAGGCUAAGCUAAUCUCUUAAAGCUUCUCUCAGUUCGGAUUGUAGGCUGCAACUCGCCUACAUGAAGCCGGAAUCGCUAGUAAUCGCGGAUCAGCACGCCGCGGUGAAUACGUUCCCGGGCCUUGUACACACCGCCCGUCACACCACGAGAGUUUGUAACACCCGAAGUCGGUGAGGUAACCUCUGAGACCCCAGCUCCCCCAUAGUAAGGCGUU
rnacentral:rRNA from 1 species